rnacentral:rRNA from 1 species
CAGUCGCCGCGGUAAUACGGAGGGAGCUAGCGUUGUUCGGAAUUACUGGGCGUAAAGCGCGCGUAGGCGGUUACUCAAGUCAGAGGUGAAAGCCCGGGGCUCAACCCCGGAACUGCCUUUGAAACUAGGUGACUAGAAUCUUGGAGAGGUCAGUGGAAUUCCGAGUGUAGAGGUGAAAUUCGUAGAUAUUCGGAAGAACACCAGUGGCGAAGGCGACUGACUGGACAAGUAUUGACGCUGAGGUGCGAAAGCGUGGGGAGCAAACAGGAUUUGAUACCCCAGUAGUCCCUGUCUCUUAUAC